rnacentral:rRNA from 1 species
UUUCCCUCAGGAUAGCUGGCACUCGCUUAUAGCGAGUCUCAUCUGGUAAAGCGAAUGAUUAGAGGCCUUGGGGCCGAAACGACCUCAACCUAUUCUCAAACUUUAAAUGGGUGAGAUCUCUGGCUUGCUUGAACGUUGAAGCCACGAGAUGCGACCGAGCGUCGCCAUGGAUCAGAGUGCCAAGUGGGCCAAUUUUGGUAAGCAGAACUGGCGCUGUGGGA